UGCCAGCCGCCGCGGUAAUACGUAGGGGGCGAGCGUUAUCCGGAAUCAUUGGGCGUAAAGGGUGUGUAGGCGGUUUGUUAAGCGAGAGGUGAAAGGCUAUGGCUCAACCAUAGUAAGCCUUUCGAACUGGCGAACUUGAGUGCAGGAGAGGAGAGCGGAAUUCCUAGUGUGGCGGUGAAAUGCGUAGAUAUUAGGAGGAACACCAGUGGCGAAGGCGGCUCUCUGGACUAUAACUGACGCUGAGGCACGAAAGCGUGGGGAGCAAACAGGAUUAGAUA
rnacentral:rRNA from 1 species